AACGAACGCUGGCGGCAGGCUUAAGACAUGCAAGUCGAACGCCCCGCAAGGGGAGUGGCAGACGGGUGAGUAACGCGUGGGAACAUACCCUCCGGUUCGGAAUAACUCAGGGAAACUUGAGCUAAUACCGGAUACGGUCGAGAGGCGAAAGAUUUAUCGCCGAGGGAUUGGCCCGCGUUCGAUUAGCUAGUUGGUGAGGUAACGGCUCACCAAGGCGACGAUCGAUAGCUGGUCUGAGAGGAUGAUCAGCCACAUUGGGACUGAGACACGGCCCAAACUCCUACGGGAGGCAGCAGUGGGGAAUAUUGGACAAUGGGCGCAAGCCUGAUCCAGCCAUGCCGCGUGAGUGAUGACGGCCUUAGGGUUGUAAAGCUCUUUCGCUCGGGACGAUAAUGACGGUACCGAGAUAAGAAGCCCCGGCUAACUUCGUGCCAGCAGCCGCGGUAAUAC
rnacentral:rRNA from 1 species